rnacentral:tRNA from 1 species
GGCUCGUUGGUCAGAGGUUAAGACACCGCCCUUUCACGGCGGUAACAGGGUUCAAUUCCCCUACGAGUCACCA